AUGUCCACUUGGAGAUUGUCUUGUUUGGAUUGUCCAGUGAGCCCUGAUCCUCAGAAAGCAGACUGAUGAAUGCUUCAGCCAAUUCUGGAUGGAUUGGCAGGAAGUAGACUUAACUGCCUGUUCUGUGGUGCAGUUGUGCCCUAUUUGUUAACUGGGUUCUGAACAAAGCCAAACUGUAAUCUGGUUGGUUGGCCAGAGUUUCUCAUCAAAGAGUACAUGCUGUUUGCUCCCCAGAUGGACAGGCCGGAUGAGUAACAAAUCCACAGAGCCUGGGACACAAGAUGUAUAAAGUUUUGGAGGCUGUCAAAAUGCGUUCAGAAGAGGUUAUGAUGUCUGGACUAAACUUUGUACUUAGACUGUCAAAUGUCUUGCAAUAAAAUGCACAUCGAAGUUAAUUUUAGAACAGUGCUAUAAUAUUCAAAUCUCAUAUAGCAUUCCUAUGAAUAAUACAAACCGUGUAUACUCUAGUCACAGAAGUAUAGAAACUUCAUGCAGAAUAGGAAAGUGAAGUUGAAUAUUGAUUUCAAGGUCAAAGACCCAUAAUGCAAUAAUCAUGCUUAAACCAUUGUGAAAAUCUAAAAUCUAACCUUAAUUACUCAAAAAAUAGACAUCUCUUUAUGUAGGGCUAAAAGAACAAAUGGUAAGACUGGUCAUAGGAUGUACCAGUACAACAUUUAAGAUGAAAUCAGUGUUAAAUGGAGAAAACCACUGACAGGUGAAGUACUUUCAUGGCAGUGUAUUUUUGGAAAGAAUGCCAAACGAGAUUGUGUUGUAGCUCCUCUGAUAAUGCAUUUAUAGUUUCUUAGACCUUUGAUUCCCAGUUGAUAUACCAUGGUCAGUGAGAUGCUCUCAGUACUGACCUCUCAGCAAAUACAAUUCCACUAUAAUUCACAUUUUAUGCAAUAUAAACAUGCAUUUAUUGUUAUUAAUAGUAUAUAGAAAAUAUGAAAUAGAUGAACUGUAUUCUGGGUAAGAUGACAAAAAUCACACCAGCAUGAGAGAAGUUAUUGCUUUAUAUCACAAGAUUUAUUGUACAGUUCUCCGCACAGUGUAUGUUAAAUAACAUCAGUAUUAGUGAAUCAGUGGUGGCAGACAAAUGUGGCAUAAUUAUGAACUGCAAAUUGUCCUUUGUUACUUGUGCAUUUAAGUAAUGAAUAAUAAAAGUCAUACAC
ensembl:lncRNA